rnacentral:rRNA from 1 species
UACGGGGGGGGCAAGCGUUGUUCGGAAUUACUGGGCGUAAAGGGCUCGUAGGCGGCCAACUAAGUCGGACGUGAAAUCCCCAGGCUCAACCUGGGAACUGCGUCCGAUACUGGAAGGCUUGAAUCCGGGAGAGGGAUGCGGAAUUCCAGGUGUAGCGGUGAAAUGCGUAGAUAUCUGGAGGAACACCGGUGGCGAAGGCGGCAUCCUGGACCAAUGCUGACGCUGAGUGAGCGAAAGCCAGGGGAGCAAACGGG